GGUGUGUUCCAACAAUCACAAAUCUUACAAAACAGAAAACUGAUAAAAUUUGAGUCAAGAAUUAUUGAGCGCGCCCACGAUGUUUGCAAAUAAUGAAUGAACCAAGAAAGCUAUCUAGAUAUAUAACAAAAUAAUUCUUCUCCUACCCCGUGAAUCGAUACAUAUCUAAUCUUCCAAGUAUCAAAAUCAAUAGCUGAAUAUAGGCAUGAUGUUUUCUCUGGGUUUUUUAUCAAAUGAGGCCAGUAUAAGGAUUAUAGGCGGUUUGUACAGGCAUACCGGGGCCGUAUGGAUUGGCAGCUGCUCCAUAAGGGUUGGCAAAGGGAUUUGCAUUCGGUUGUUGUUGGGGAGUCAUCAUCAUCAUGUGUUGUUGUUGUUGUUGCUGUUGU
rnacentral:misc_RNA from 1 species